UUGUCUUUUUCGCUGAAUUCUGUAAAAGAAGCGGGGGAACCACCGCGUGUGCAGUUUUGCAACUGCCAUGCCAAGGGGUGAAUCUCGAACAUUCGAGUAGGGCUACUCUUCAGGCCCGAAUCCGUCAGCUAACCCCGUAAGCGUAGAAGAGAGGAGAC
rnacentral:sRNA from 2 species